AUUGAACGCUGGCGGUAGGCCUAACACAUGCAAGUCGAACGGCAGCACAGUAAGAGUUUGCUCUUACCGGUGGCGAGUGGCGGGCGGGUGAGGUAUACAUCGGACUCUACUUUGUCGUGGGGGAUAACGUAGGGAAACUUACGAUAAUACCGCAUACGACCUACGGGAGAAAGCAGGGGAUCUUCGCACCUUGCGCGAUUGUAUGAGCCGAUGUCGGAUUAGCUAGUUGGCGGGGUAAAGGCUCACCAAGGCGACGAUCCGUAGCUGGUCUGAGAGGAUGAUCAGCCACACUGGAACUGAGACACGGUCCAGACUCCUACGGGAGGCAGCAGUGGGGAAUAUUGGACAAUGGGCGCAAGCCUGAUGCAGCCAUACCGCGUGUGUGAAGAAGGCCUUCGGGUUGUAAAGCCCUUUUGUUGGGAAAGAAAAGCAGCAGGUUAAUACCCCGCUGUUCUGACGGUACCCAAAGAAUAAGCACCGGCUAACUUCGCG
rnacentral:rRNA from 1 species